GAGUUCAUACUCACUCCGCAUUUGACCUAACCUAAUUCCUACCGUUAUAAAAUAAUGUUAACCCCUAAAAUCAAGGAAUAGAACUUAAUUCCCAAAAAAUGAAAAGAAGGCAGCGGCAAAUCCUCUGAAAAAUCCAUCUCCAUCGUCAUUUUUUGACAAGGAGGAAGCCAGCGAAAGGGCAUAAGAUGAAUCGGGUGCAAGCCCUCUUUCUCAACCAAAGAGCACUCUAAAACUAAAUCGAAAAUACUCCAAACAACCAACAAAAACCAGCUUGAAACCAAUCUCUUCCGCUAGCAACAAACAACCUCUAUUUACAGAAGCUACAAUCAAAAUUCGAGGUCGUCAGUGUUUUCCGUUCGCUAGCUUCAGUUCCGGUCUAGACGAAGAAGGAAGCAGUUGUGUUCCCUCGGUGGAUAGUGGAUUUGGUGACUAGAUGUACAGGAGUACCAUUUAUUGGAAAAGAUGAGGUAUAUUCUUUUACCUCAAUUUUUAAACUUCACGUUUUUUUUUGUUUGAAAAAAUGAGGAUAUACAUGAUUUGUUUGCUGGUUGUGUCAUACUCUACAUUUGGUUAAGAUAUUAUUUUUCGUUCUUCUUUUUGUGUUGCAAAUGAGAAUGAAGCUUUGUUUCUUAGCAUGAGCAUAUUAGUUAGUUUAAUUUAAUUUUCUUUAUUUA